rnacentral:rRNA from 1 species
GGGGAAUAUUGGACAAUGGGGGGAACCCUGAUCCAGCCAUGCCGCGUGUGUGAAGAAGGCCUUAUGGUUGUAAAGCACUUUAAGCGAGGAGGAGGCUCCCGUAGCUAAUACCCAAGGUGAGUGGACGUUACUCGCAGAAUAAGCACCGGCUAACUCUGUGCCAGCAGCCGCGGUAAUACAGAGGGUGCGAGCGUUAAUCGGAUUUACUGGGCGUAAAGCGUACGUAGGCGGCUUUUUAAGUCGGAUGUGAAAUCCCCGAGCUUAACUUGGGAAUUGCAUUCGAUACUGGGAAGCUAGAGUAUGGGAGAGGAUGGUAGAAUUCCAGGUGUAGCGGUGAAAUGCGUAGAGAUCUGGAGGAAUACCGAUGGCGAAGGCAGCCAUCUGGCCUAAUACUGACGCUGAGGGACGAAAGCAUGGGGAGCAAAC